CGUUAUGGGUGGGUGAGUGAAGAAUCGGCUUUAAGAGAGAUUGACAAAGGAAGACUCUUGAUUUGAGGAAGGAAUGAACGGGGAGGGCCACAGAGAGCAACUCUGCCUUCCACAGAGAAGCAGGAGACGUGGGACUGAAGGGACAUACUCCAACCAUGAUCAUAUCCCAGUAAACAGCUUUUUUUUUCACUGACACUGGAAAUGAACUCCAAGGAUCAAUCCAACCAAUUUGCGCUCCCAUGAGGUGAGAGACUGGCCUCCGUCCUCCGUCUUCUAAUGCCCUGGCAGCUAGCAGAGACCCACAGCCAGAAGGGAUGAAGGCAGUGCAGACAGAAGACAACCUCCCCACACUGAUUCUUGUAGGGUGUUGCUGAAUGAUUUUCAGAAAAUCCAUGGCGGAAAACUUAGACUUUCCAUUGAUGUUGGUUUCUCCAAUUAUAAUUUUAUCAAGCUCUGACAGCAAAGCGGUGAACUGAAAGGCCACGUGGGGACCAGCUCCUACGAAGCCCUGGCGCCUCUCACAUCACGUGGCACGGCCCUCCAUCGCCGCUCCAGUUCAGUGAAUGAGAGAGUACUUCUGGAAAAUUCCCGGGCAGUUCUUAAGGAGAAGUUUGCGAGGGGCAGCCACCGGUUUCUGGGAGAGACGCGUUGGUGAUGACGGUCUGGGGUCUGAAGGUGAGGCUCCAGAGACACUGGCCUGGGCCCUGCUGUCCUUGGG